CUACGGGAGGCAGCAGUGGGGAAUAUUGCGCAAUGGGGGAAACCCUGACGCAGCGACGCCGCGUGGAGGAUGAAGGUUUUCGGAUCGUAAACUCCUGUCAGUAGGGAAGAACCCUGCAAGGAAUAAUACGCCUUGCAGCUGACGGUACCUACAGAGGAAGCACCGGCUAAUUCCGUGCCAGCAGCCGCGGUAAUACGGAAGGUGCAAGCGUUAAUCGGAAUCACUGGGCGUAAAGCGCUCGUAGGUGGCUUUGUAAGUCAGGUGUGAAAGCCCACGGCUCAACCGUGGAAUUGCACUUGAGACUGCAUUGCUUGAGUUCGGGAGAGGGUAGUGGAAUUCCAGGUGUAGGAGUGAAAUCCGUAGAGAUCUGGAGGAACACCAGUGGCGAAGGCGACUACCUGGACCGAUACUGACACUGAGGAGCGAAAGCGUGGGGAGCAAACAGGAUUAGAUACCCGAGUAGUC
rnacentral:rRNA from 1 species